rnacentral:rRNA from 1 species
AUUGAACGCUGGCGGCAGGCCUAACACAUGCAAGUCGAGCGGGAUUUACCUUCGGGUAAUGAGAGCGGCGGACGGGUGAGUAAUGCUUGGGAAUCUACCUAGUAGUGGGGGACAACAGUUGGAAACGACUGCUAAUACCGCAUACGCCCUACGGGGGAAAGGGGGGGAUCUUCGGACCUCUUGCUGUUAGAUGAGCCCAAGUCGGAUUAGCUAGUUGGUGGGGUAAAGGCCUACCAAGGCGACGAUCCGUAGCUGGUUUGAGAGGAUGAUCAGCCACGCUGGGACUGAGAACCGGCCCAGACUCCUACGGGAGGCAGCAGUGGGGAAUAUUGGACAAUGGGCGCAAGCCUGAUCCAGCAAUGCCGCGUGUGUGAAGAAGGCCUUAGGGUUGUAAAGCACUUUAAGCAGGGAGGAAGGUCUGGUAAUUAAUACUUAUCAGGAUUGACGUUACCUACAGAAUAAGCACCGGCUAACUCCGUGCCAGCAGCCGCUGUAA